rnacentral:lncRNA from 1 species
UACGUGACAACUCAUCGCUCAGGCAUUUGGAAAGAAUCGGCCCUGACAAGUAGAUUUUCAACAAUAAACAGCGUUCAAGAGAAAAGGAAGAACAGCCUAGAGCCUGAGGCUGAUUGCUUCUGGAAGCCUCAGAAGCCUUCCCUGAUGGCAGCUCUCUUUGCAAACAGGUCCUUGUCCUGCCAGCCCUCAUUUUCCAGCUCCUGCUCUAGUUCGUCACCUGCCCUGUAUCAUGAGUGUCUCCAUGGCUCUCCCUCUUUCAACUGCCUGAAUUGAUGGAUUUGUCUCAUGACAUAGCUGCAAAAGUCACAGUUGCCCCACUAAAUACAGUGAUGGUUAAGAAGAAAUCAAACAACCCACGUGAGUGACAAGUGCAACAGGCAAUUGAGUCUGGGUGCAAUAGACAGAGUCUUACUACAAACUCCAGGCUCUCAAAUUUGUCUAACUGAUUCCUUAUGCCGCAGCCUAUCAAACGCUGAGACUAUGGGAAUUAUCGGUCUGCGUCGCCACACCCGACUAGAGUGGCUAGUAGUAUGCAAGUAUUGUUAUUUAGAAGAUUGGUG